GAUGAACGCUGGCUACAGGCUUAACACAUGCAAGUCUAGGGGAAACGACGGGGAAGCUUGCUUCCCCGGGCGUCGACCGGCGCACGGGUGAGUAACGCGUAUCCAACCUGCCUCUGACUGAGGGAUAACCCGUCGAAAGUCGGCCUAAUACCUCAUGGCAUCGUCUGCGGGCAUCCAACGACGAUUAAAGAUUUCAUCGGUCAGAGAUGGGGAUGCGUCUGAUUAGCUUGUUGGCGGGGUAACGGCCCACCAAGGCGACGAUCAGUAGGGGUUCUGAGAGGAAGGUCCCCCACAUUGGAACUGAGACACGGUCCAAACUCCUACGGGAGGCAGCAGUGAGGAAUAUUGGUCAAUGGGCGAGAGCCUGAACCAGCCAAGUAGCGUGCAGGAGGACGGCCCUAUGGGUUGUAAACUGCUUUUAUGCGGGGAUAAAGUGAGGGACGUGUCCUUCAUUGCAGGUACCGCAUGAAUAAGGACCGGCUAAUUCCGUG
rnacentral:rRNA from 1 species